rnacentral:rRNA from 1 species
GGCGAGUGAAGCGGUAACAGCUCAAAUUUGAAAUCUGGCCUCACGGUCCGAGUUGUAAUUUGUAGAGGAUGCUUCGAGCAUGGUCUGGCCUAAGUUCCUUGGAACAGGACGUCAUAGAGGGUGAGAAUCCCGUAUGCGGCCAGGUGCCUACGCUCAUGUGAAGCUCCUUCGACGAGUCGAGUUGUUUGGGAAUGCAGCUCAAAAUGGGUGGUAAAUUUCAUCUAAAGCUAAAUAUUGGCCAGAGACCGAUAGCGCACAAGUAGAGUGAUCGAAAGAUGAAAAGCACUUUGGAAAGAGAGUUAAACAGUACGUGAAAUUGUUGAAAGGGAAGCGCUUGCAACCAGACUUGCGCGCGGCCGAUCAUCCGGUGUUCUCACCGGUGCACUCGGCCGUGCUCAGGCCAGCAUCGGUUUUGGCGGCUGGAUAAAGGCCCUAGGAAUGUAGCUCCUCUCGGGGAGUGUUAUAGCCUAGGGUGCAAUGCAGCCUGCUGGGACCGAGGACCGCGCUUCGGCUAGGAUGCUGGCGUAAUGGUUGUAAGCGGCCCGUCUUGAAACACGGACCAAGGAGUCUAACAUCUAUGCGAGUGUUUGGGUGUCAAACCCAUACGCGUAAUGAAAGUGAACGGAGGUGAGAACCCUUAAGGGUGCAUCAUCGACCGGUCCUGAAGUUUACGGAAGGAUCUGAGUAAGAGCAUAGCUGUUGGGACC